GUAUCGCUAACGUGCCCCUAUGCCUGGGAUAGCCGUCCGAAAGGACGGGUAAUACCGGAUGAGACCACAGUCCCGCAUGGGACGGUGCUCAAAGGAGUAAUCCGCAAAGGGAGCGGGCGAUAUCGUAUCAGCUAGUUGGUGAGGUAACGGCUCACCAAGGCGACGACGCGUAGCCGGGCUGAGAGGGCACACGGCCACACUGGCACUGAAACACGGGCCAG
rnacentral:rRNA from 1 species